rnacentral:misc_RNA from 1 species
GAACUGCGAUAAGUAAUGUGAAUUGCAGAAUUCAGUGAAUCAUCGAGUCUUUGAACGCACAUUGCGCCCCCUGGCAUUCCGGGGGGCAUGCCUGUCCGAGCGUCAUUGCUGCCCUUCAAGCCCGCCUUGUGUGUUGGGUCGUCGUCCCCUCCGGGGGACGGGCCCGAAAGGCAGCGGCGGCACCGCGUCCGGUCCUCGAGCGUAUGGGGCUUUGUCACCCGCUCGAUAAGGACCGGCCGGGCGCCAGCCGGCGUCUCCAACCUUUUUUUCUCAGGUUGACCUCGGAUCAGGUAGGGAUACCCGCUGAACUUAAGC